CAUUUCAAUAUCUUUCUUGUCAUCCAAGGUUCCUGGAUCUUGCCAUCCUUAACUUUCAUCCUCACUGUCAAUCAAAUCAUCUCGGUCUCCAUGACAACAGAUUGAUGAGCUCCUUAAACUUGUUGCUGAAGGUGAAGGUGGAGAAGAAAGCAGAUAAUCGCCCCUCUUUCAACAUGCUGCUGAGCAGUAUCCAGGAGCUGGUGGAAGAUGACAGUCAGACAUGAAGGAAUUCUUCAUUGUCUUACCCUAUUAAACUUUAAGAGCUAUUAAACUUCACAAUCCCUCUUUGCCAAUUCAAUGUGUUUCACUUUUGCAACCUUCCCGCACAGUGAUUUAAAAAUAAAUGUCUAAAAGCUUUUCAAACUGGGCUCUUCUCCAUGCAUAUACAGCUAAACAUAAAGACACACAUAUAUAUAGCCACACGUAUACAGACACAUAUACACAAAUGCACACCAAUGCACAUAGGCACAGAUGAAAUAAAUCUUUGAUUCUCUUAUUUAAAA